CUCAAAAAAAUUCCUGCUCUCAAACAUCUUAGAUCCCUCACUCACCCUUCUGGAAUCGACGCCCCAAAGAUGUUACAGUAACAACUGCAAAUACAAGUUCAGAGGAAGAUCAUAUUCCUUUUGUGGUGCAAUUGGAGUUUGUUAUCGUAUGCGGUGCUUUUCGUUGUAUGGCCAUAUGAAGCUGCAGAUGCAAAUAUUUCUUAAGGUACAUGACGAUCCUUCUAACGCUCCAGUUUGAUGGUCCAACUCAAUGGCCCUUACGCCACUUGGGGGGACUGCUGGUAGAGAUCAUAGCAAUUGAUGUAAGUCCCUUACUUCUGUAAUACGGUACUUGGAGUGACUGCUGGUAGAGCUCAUAGCAAUUGCUCACUCAAUGUCAGAUUUUAAGAUCAACGAAUCAGCUCACUGCUGCGGUCGAAGUUGGGGAAGGUGAUGUGAUGUUAGAAAUUAGGCUGCGAACAGGUUCUUUGACCAAUGUUCUUAUUAAUGCUGGUGCAUUUGUGCUCGCAAUCAAAAAGUGUUAUAUGGGCUUUAGGAUCCACACAUGGCUACUCAUGUGAGUGAGAGAUUUGCGGAGACUGACCGGUUCAAGGUUUUGAAAGAGGACUUUGUCAAAUGUCGCAUUCACUCAUAUGUGGUGUCGUUGUUGGCAUGUGCAGAGCCAUCGGUCUCACCGCCACGAUCUUCCACGAUUCCAUUUUUCCUUUCUUUUAAUUUAUUUUUAAAUUUUAAAAGUUUUUGUUGAUGGUUUGUUUGUGGAAAUGGAUGAAAUCAGGUGUUGGAUUAAACUGUACCUUCCUCAACACAAAAAAAAAAAAAAAAAAAAGGAUUGAUCCAUGGAGACUGCAAUUUGUGGGAGAAUCCCUCUCCCCCAACCAUGUCUUCAACCCCAAACCAGAUUCUCUCCAUUUUUCUCAAUUCUUUCCCUCUUUUCAGAUUUUGGGUUUCCCUCAAAAUCUUUGAUUUCUUCAUCAAUUAACAUGAACUGCCAAGGGUCAACACUUGAGAAGGUGAUUUGGGUGGAGAUCGUAAAGAUGGACAUUUGUAAGCCUUAUCAAU